AAGACUCAAACAGUUAAACUUGCAUUCUCUAGAAAGGCGAAGGGUGCGUGGAGACAUGAUCGAGGUUUAUAAAUGGAUGAAGGGCUUUAAUAAGGGAGACAUUCAUAAGGUUUUAUUGGUAAGAGAAUCGGGUAGGACACGAAGUAACGGGUUUAAACUGGAUAAAUUCAGAUUCAACAGGGACAUAGGCAAAAAUUGGUUUACUAACAGGGUGGUGGAUGAGUGGAAUAGGCUUAGCAGUCAUGUGGUGAGUGCCAAUACAAUUGUCACAUUCAAAAAUAGACUAGAUAAAUUCAUGGACAGCGAUAUUAGGUGGGGUUAGAUACACGGGAGCUUAGGGUCAAAGGAGCUGCCUCGUACAGGCCUACCGGCCUCUUGCAGACUCCUGCGUUCUUAUGUUCUUAUGUUCUUAUCAC